rnacentral:rRNA from 1 species
GACGAACGCUGGCGGCGUGCUUAACACAUGCAAGUCGAACGGAAAGGCCCUGCUUGCAGGGUACUCGAGUGGCGAACGGGUGAGUAACACGUGGGUGAUCUGCCCUGCACUUCGGGAUAAGCCUGGGAAACUGGGUCUAAUACCGGAUAGGAGCCAUUUUUAGUGUGAUGGUUGGAAAGUUUUUUCGGUGUAGGAUGAGCUCGCGGCCUAUCAGCUUGUUGGUGGGGUAAUGGCCUACCAAGGCGGCGACGGGUAGCCGGCCUGAGAGGGUGGACGGCCACAUUGGGACUGAGAUACGGCCCAGACUCCUACGGGAGGCAGCAGUGGGGGAUAUUGCACAAUGGGCGCAAGCCUGAUGCAGCGACGCCGCGGGGGGGAUGACGGCCUUCGGGUUGUAAACUCCUUUCGCUAGGGACGAAGCUUUUUGUGACGGUACCUAGAUAAGAAGCACCGGCUAACUACGUG